AACAUCACAAACAUCAUUAUAGAAGAGAGCUCCAACUCUCUCUCUCUCACACACACACACAGACGCACAAUUUGACCAAGUUGAUGAAAUAAAUCAGAUAAAGAAAUGCACAGCAGAAGUUAAAAAGUUAUGGCAACUGUGAAGGUAAGGUUGGCAUCACAAUUCCCUUUUACACAUGACAGAAUGAAAGCCUGGGCAUUCAUCCAAAGUCACAUGAACCAGUGGCAGUGCUGUGAAGGUUUGAGAAAAAGAAGUCAAGACUGAGAGGAGAGAGACUGCUGAACUGGAAUAAACUGCAGAAGCUGGAUUAGAAGACAUUGAGCUGGCCAAAAAUACAAUACAUUUUUAAAUUGCAGCUUUCCAAACUAGCCUUGACAUCUCACCCCAGGCACUGGCAACCUAUCCCAUAGCCAGCUACAGGCAGCCUGCUGGGGAAUUUCAGUGCCACAUCAGCCAUUCACCCGCCCUCGGCAAAGUACGCUCCCUCACCUUCCUACCUCCUUCUUACCGGCCUGGUCCUGCAGGCACCCAGGGGCUGGCACUCCACCAGGCCAUUCCUCCAAACAAAGUCGGCCUUUCAUCAAUGGUCCCAAGUGCAAGAUUCCCCUUCCUACACACUCUAGGCAUCAACACAUCUUCAUGCCUUAUCCGAUCUUGGUUAUCAAACUCUAGAUGAGAAAAAUGAAACCCAGUUUAUUUAUACCUUAGAAAAGAGUUUGUUAACCAAAACACAUUUCUCAGAAGUGGAGUAUGACUUAUUAGACUUUAUAUUAUUCCGUGUUAAUUUUUCUCCAUCUAAUCAUCAAAAGUGAAAUACAGGACAUCCACAUGACUCAUUUGAACACAGCUGCACCCCUGUGUUAGCAAGUGACUUGUACCAGUGCCAUUGGGCUCAGUCAAAACAAAGAAUCAUCACUUAGAGGAGGUGAGGUUUGACCAACAAAUUCUUUAGACCCUGGUAGUCAGUGCAAGAGCUUCUGAAUGAUAACAAUGAUAAAAGUAAUAGCAGCAGCUAAUAUAUACACAAUUAAACAAUGCACAUUACAUGGAUUAUCUCAUUUCAUACAUGCAACAAUCUUUUACAAUUAUAGCAGUUCCACAAAGUAGGGAAUUUCUGUUUUAACUAGUCCUUCAAGAGGCAAUUACUUUUCUCUAGUGUUCUGCUCUUAGGACUGGAAGGAUGAGACUUUGCGACCAGAAAGACUCAUCAUUAGAGUGGGCAGCUCCUUCCUUCCUCAUGCCACACCCACAGGCAGCUGCCUUCCCUUUCCUGCAGCAAACAGGUCCCAUCAUAUCCCACAGAUGCAACCAAAUGAUUUCGUAUUGCUUUCAGCAAUUACAUGAAGAGGCAUAUGACUAAAUCAGCCUAUUAUCCUCAUUUCUCAACAGCCCUCACAAUAUUGCAUUUAUAGAAUUUUGGUGUUGUGGCCUUCAAAACACAUUGGUAUUGUGACCUUACUAGAAUAAUCCUUUAGAGUCACAGACAUUUAUUAAAACAAAGACCAUGUUUUCUGGUAAUAAAAGCUAAGGGAGGGUAUGAGAAUUUAUUCUCCAGGUUAACAAGGACAAGAUAACCCUCAGCAUGCAUCUGCAAGUAGAAUGCUGUGUGAAACACUCCCUUAUCAAACUCUUUCCUGAAUAGCAACCCUCAAGGCAGCCUGAAAUGUCUUAUUAUUUUUAUGCUUCUGCAUGUGCACCUGUAUUACCAAUAAUACCCUGUCAAUGCAUUGAGUUUGUUUGCUGUUUAUUUCCUAACAAGAAACUGUUCAUGGUAUGGAGUAGAGAAGGAGUAUUUUCAUGGGAUAGGCAUUUUGGAGAAGAAAAAAAGCAAAUGAGAGAAGUGGGA
rnacentral:lncRNA from 10 species